GGAUUCAGGCCUCCCACGCUUUAAAAAUCCUCCUAUUUUAGGAGUUUUAGGAGGUCUUUAGUGUUAGGUCUUAGGAGAUUCUUAGGAGCUUUCGAUAUGGAAGUCGACAUUUUUGUAAUAAA